GCCAGGUGUGGUGGGGCACACCUGUAAUCCCAGCAGCUCAGGAGGCUGAGGCAGGAGAAUCACAAGUUCCAGGCCAGCCUCAGCCACUUAGCAAGGCUCCAAGCAACUUAGCAAGACCCUGUCUCAA
rnacentral:sRNA from 1 species